rnacentral:tRNA from 1 species
CGGGGUGUAGCGUAGUUGGUUAGCGCGCAUGGCUGGGGGUCAUGAGGUCGAAGGUUCGAAUCCUUUCACCCCGA